AACGAACGCUGGCGGCAGGCCUAACACAUGCAAGUCGAACGAAGUCUUCGGACUUAGUGGCGCACGGGUGAGUAACACGUGGGAAUAUACCUUACGCUGGGGGAUAACAUCGGGAAACUGAUGCUAAUACCGCAUACGCCCUUCGGGGGAAAGAUUUAUCGGCGAAAGAUUAGCCCGCGUCCGAUUAGCUAGUUGGUGAGGUAAUGGCUCACCAAGGCUCCGAUCGGUAGCUGGUCUGAGAGGAUGACCAGCCACACUGGGACUGAGACACGGCCCAGACUCCUACGGGAGGCAGCAGUGGGGAAUAUUGGACAAUGGGCGCAAGCCUGAUCCAGCCAUGCCGCGUGAGUGAUGAAGGCCUUAGGGUUGUAAAGCUCUUUCACCCACGACGAUGAUGACGGUAGUGGGAGAAGAAGCCCCGGCUAACUUCGUGCCAGCCGCCGCCGUAACAC
rnacentral:rRNA from 1 species